UACGUAGGGUGCAAGCGUUGUCCGGAAUUAUUGGGCGUAAAGAGCUCGUAGGCGGUUUGUCGCGUCUGCUGUGAAAACCCGGGGCUUAACCCCUGGCUUGCAGUGGAUACGGACAGACUAGAGGUAGGUAGGGGAGAAUGGAAUUCCCGGUGUAGCGGUGAAAUGCGCAGAUAUCGGGAGGAACACCGGUGGCGAAGGCGGUUCUCUGGGCCUUACCUGACGCUGAGGAGCGAAAGCGUGGGGAGCGAACAGG
rnacentral:rRNA from 1 species